UACGUAGGUCCCGAGCGUUGUCCGGAUUUAUUGGGCGUAAAGCGAGCGCAGGUGGUUUAUUAAGUCUGGUGUAAAAGGCAGUGGCUCAACCAUCGUAUGCAUUGGAAACUGGUAGACUUGAGUGCAGGAGAGGAGAGUGGAAUUCCAUGUGUGGCGGUGAAAUGCGUAGAUAUAUGGAGGAACACCGGUGGCGAAAGCGGCUCUCUGGCCUGUAACUGACACUGAGGCUCGAAAGCGUGGGGAGCAAACAGG
rnacentral:rRNA from 1 species